AGGGCCUCCGGUUGCAGAAGACCAACUGCAGUCUGGACGCGAUGGGAGGGACCUGCCCAGUCAAAGUCUACGAGCGCCACUUCCCGCCUCAGCGACCACAGCAAAUAGCAAGCCGAUACCCCUGGAUAGCAACGUUAGCGAAGAGUAUAAUCGAUGGUUCUCGUUUUUUCAGCGUCCACGGCUUCAUCCAUCUAGGGGCUAAACCACGACGCAAGAAGGUGGAUGAGCUCUUACAAACCAACAACCUCACUGACGUACAACGGCUACUGACAAUUCCAGGCCGGUUGCUGUUCACCACCGUAGUAAUGAUAACAUCUUCACUAAUAAAUGCCGACUAUUUGCUACGAUAUCUGUCGCUCUUUCAAUAAUACGAGUAAUAACAGCACCAUAUGCAGAAA
rnacentral:lncRNA from 1 species